CCGACAAGUCGAGACCGCCUGUCUGGCGAGUCGCCGACAGUCGCGUCACGCAGAUUGCACGUCGAUAUGCCGUCGUCGUGGUACGAUGAUACAGCCGGAUCGUACAUGCCUUUUGGAAAGACCAAGAUGCGCGCAUCGACCUUGGUUUGAGCGAGGCGCCGCGCCAGUUUACGCCACGAUAGUAGAUGGCCGGCGGCAUUGCGCGCAUCGGGCCUCGUCAACUCAAACCCAUGGGCGGCAAAGGCCGCGCGCCUGAAAACCCCCUUCCACACGCCGUCGUCCAUGGCAAUCUGUCGAAAGCGUGAGCACACGGUCGCCAGUUGGGCGGCGCGGCGAGCGCUCGGUCGAGUGAGCGCGACAAUGCAAACAAGAAUCUCGUCGGGAAGAUCAAACAGAGUGGUCGUCAUCCGCCUGUAUCUAGUCGUCUCUGAUUUUUAAUGGGAAAGUUUGACAAAAGAGACAGACUUUUUCAUAUCACCGAGGGCCAGUGUGCCCUGUGGUUUUGGGUUGUCGCCCUGUGGCACGCAAUGACGACGGGCGGCGGUUCUUGCCGCCGCCGUGCCUAUUGACACUCUUUUUCGAUUGGACAAGUUUGAUUGCCAUUUUUGGUGAAAAGGCAGGCGACCUAUCCUGCACGGGCAUCGGGUGCAUAAAAAUGUCUGUGCAUGCAUUUUUACAAUA
rnacentral:lncRNA from 1 species